rnacentral:lncRNA from 1 species
AAUCGACAACACGCUGCUCACUUCUUAUUUACAAAUUGAUAAACCCAGUGCAUUUUAGAAAGAAAGAAAGAAUAAAAGAAAGACAAAAAGAAAAAACAAACAUUAUUAUUAGUAUUAUCAUUAUUAUUAUUAUUACUAUUACUUGUACUACUGUUACUCUCAGAGAACAGGAGAAAAAGUUUUUGUUUUUUCCUUUUGGUGUAAAUGCCGUGUCUCUCUCUCCUUACUUCACUCAUAAAGGUUGACGAACUGUGAUUAGCUUUUAAUUAAGUGGCAGUUGAGGGCUUCAAAACAAAAGGAAAAGAAAAGAAGGGAAAAGAAAUUAAAUAACCUUCUAAUUAACGACUGCACUAAUUAGAUUAAAUAACAUUGAUAAGAAGAAAUCAAACAAAAGGGAAUAACUUACAAGGUAGAGUAAAAAAAUACCGUUUAUUUAUAUUUGUUAUUUUUUCCUUAAAAGUGUGUUCCGAUAUCCUCUGUGUAUGUGUGUGUGUGUGUGUGUGUGUAAUUUUACAAGGCUUGUUUGACUUUGAAAAUAGAGUUUAUAUGUGAAAACGUAUGUGUGUAUGUGUCCGUGUGCGCUUUUGUUUUGACUAGACUCAUUUUAUUUUUAAAUUUUCAAGAGCAAUGUCCUGGAAUUGUUUGUGUUUUGGGUGUGUGUGUGUGUAAUGUUUGUUUUGACUAAUUUGACCCCCUACAAGUCUAUCUAUUUUUACUUCUUCCUUUUUUUUAAUCAUUCUUCUGAUGCAUGUCUUUAAGAGCCUGAGAAAGCUACCCGGCGAGUCGACCUACUGAUCCUGUUUGUUUUUCGCGUUUUCUCAUUAUUACUUUUGCCUUUUGCGCUUCCCUUGUGAUGAUCGCGCUUCGCUUUACGUCGUCAAUACACAGGCAUGCCUCAACUUAUGUCGAUAAUUAGUUCCAAGACAUACAAUUUAACUCGAAAAACAUUUUUAAAACUUUAUUAAUUUAUAACUGUUUUAAUAAAUGGUUUGUACAUAUUUUCACGUGUAUAUUAUUUGAUAUUCAACUUCACUAUUUUCUUUUUUACGUGUUUUUCAAAAAAUGUUAUGCUUUUAUUUAUGUUCGCUAAGAUGGACGUAAAGUGGGAUAAAUCGACUAAAGUUGGGGAUUUUAUUUUUUCUGUUUAUUUAUUUCAAAAAGCGGCGUAAAAUCGAAAAACAAAACCUAACUCGAAACGACGUAAGUUGAGGUAUAACUACUUGGAAAAAAAAAAAGAAGAAACUUAAGGGGCAUUUCUUUGUUAGUACCCUACAUUUCAUAUCAUUAUUAUAUCGCGAAUUAAAAUGAUGCAAAAUGAACGAGGAGAAAAACAUGAAUUCAUUUAAAUACAUGUACGAUAUCUCAGUUCCUGGAUCUUUUCGGUUUGACCGGCAGUUUUUAAAAAUAAUUUCCACGUAACUAACCACUUUUAAACUUCGUAUACUGGUAGAAUGUGUUUAUAAAACAUCUUUUUCUCUUGGCUUUAUUGAGAAAAUUCUAUAGUUUGUAAGAUAUUUGUUGUUGUUUUUUUCUUCAAUUUCUGCAAUUUCAACCAAUCAAUGACGUCUAUUGAGGUGAAAACAUUCUGUGCCGUAUGAAUAUGUCCCUCGUUUAAGAAGCAGAUUAGGUUUAUUUACAUUUCUGAAGAAAAAAAGAUACCCUUCCCCAACCUCUAACCCUAACCCUAAAAGAGAUUGAAAUGCAAUAGAUCGAUACUAGGGUCAUAAUUAUGGGUGCCAAUUUCAUAUGACACCGCUAGAAAAAACUGCCGUUCAAACCGAAAAGAUCCCAGUUCUUUUCUUCCAAUUUCAUUUUAUUGUUUUCAAACAGUGUGGUUUUGUAAUAAAUAUUUUUUGUGACAAUCUUUACGGUGACAUCACCCAACGUCCACAAUUUUACUUUGAUACACUUAGUUCAUGACUACGUGUUAUCCUCCAUCAAAUAUUAAUGGGGAAAUUCCGAUCCGAUUUUCAAACAUUUUAAUGUAUGAUCAUUGUCAAUUAUCCUCAUUAUCAUUUAACGACCUUGUUCUAUGCUGUCUGCUUUGAUAUGGUUUUUAAGAGUGGAUGCCCUUCCUUACGACAACCUCAUUCAGGGUGGAUUGGGUACUUUUUUUUUCGUGUCACCUGUAUUAUUGACGUCUCCAUACAGUUCGCCUGUCUACAAUUCUUGGGGUAUGAGGGGUGAUCAGCAUCACGUUAAGGGAUGAGGGGACUACUGUGAGAGAGGGGUGGGCAGAACAGAUUCCUACCGAGGGGUCUGCAUGGUCACUCACAUCAAGUAUGGAAAAAAAAAGAGAAGAAAAGUAUUUUCCCAAAUGAAUUUUUAGUUAUUAUAAUUUAAAUAUUUUCCCAAAUGAAUUUUUAGUUAUCAUUUAAAUGACAGCCAAUAAGAAUUAAAGGAAAAUAAAAUGACGUGUUAAAAAGGGUCAUGAAUAAAAAGGAUAUAUGCAGGAGUGGCUGUGUGGUAAGAAGUUUGCUUCCAACCACAUGGUCUUGGGUUCAGUCCCAUUGUGUAACACCUUGAGCAAGUGUCUUCUACUACUGUCCCAGGUUGACCAAGGCCAUGUGAGUUAACUUGGUAGAGAGAAACUGAAAGAAGCUUGUUGUGUAUAUAUGUAUGAAUGUAUGUGUGUGUGUGUGUGUAUAUAUAUAUAUAUAUAUAUACACACACAUACAUAUAUAUAUAUAUACAUACACACACACAUGUGUGUAGGUGUAUAUCUUUGUGUCAGUGUUUGUCUCCCACCACCGCUUGACAACCAGUGUUGGUGUGUUUAUUCCCCAUGACUUAGUAGUUCAGCAAAAGUUAACUGCUAGAAUAAGUCCCAGGCUUAAAAUAUUUUUUAAAAGUCUUGGGGAGUUGAUUCAUUUGACUAAAAAUUAUUCCCGGUAGUGCCCCAGCCUGGCCGCUGUCUAAUGACUGAAGCAAGUCAAAGAUAAAAGUCACCUUGUAUGAUAACAAAGAAGCGCUGAAGAAUGGGGGAAGACAUGAACCUUUUUGGGGGAUGUUAUUCUGUUUCCCUAUUUAAUGUUUAUUUGAGGCCUGAAUAUUUUUGUAAGAAACAGGUAUUAUAGUCACUUAGUUUCCAUUAACACAUUAUGGUAAAGCAUGACUGCUAGAACUUGUGUUUUUGUUUAUCACAAUCCAUCCAUAGCUGUCUAGUUGGGUGACUUGCCUGGAUCAAUGCAACUUUUCCAUCCCAAAUGUCCCAGCCUUCAUAUCUUCAACUUGUUAUCCAGUGUCUUUUACAAGUUACUCAAUAUAUGCUCUUUUUGCUCUACUGAUACCUGUAUGCCCAGGCAUAGGUUUCCAGAAAAGGAGAUCGCUGGAUAUUUCAUCCUUGCUUCACCAGCAGUGUCCCAUAUAACUAAUGACUUCUUUCUCUGAUUGUCGAGGAGAUGGUGAUCUAACUGCCAUGCAAUCACUGCUUUGUUGGGUGUUGCUGUCUACUAUGAAGGAAGGAGAUAAAUGUGUAACUGUGGAACACGAUUUUUGUCCUUGAGUAGCAGCUGUUAUUUCCUAUUUGCUUACCCUUAGAAAGUGUGAGAAAUGGCUAAUAUCUCCUUCAAACUUUGCUUUUGUUUCAUUUAUUCAAACCCCAAAUAUUCCCUCUCAAUACAUGGCUAUGAUGCUCCCCCACUAUUCCUGCUCAUGAUCACAGAAGCACAUAUUGUCAGCCACUAAGGGACAUGCUCAAGUGGUUACGGUCAAGCAACUGACAAGCAAAUCUGUGGUAUUGAGCAGAAUAUUUGCUAUGACAAUAUUUCUGCUUCAGCAACAUAGCACUGAAUCUGUCUGAAACGUAAUGGAAAAUAAGGCCAGUUUCAGCUUCUUUCAGUUUCCAUCUACCAAAUCCACUCACAAGGCUUUGGUUAGCCUGAGGCUAUAGUAGAAGACACUUGCCCAAGGUGGCAUGCAGUGAGACUGAACCCGAAACCAUGUGGUUGGUAAGCAAGCUACUUACCACACAGCCACUUCUGCACCUAUGGCAAAAAUAAAAUAAAAUUUUGUUACACAGUGUUAUUGUAACCAGAAGAAAUUAUUAAAACUACCAGCUGAAUUACUGUAUAAUUUGUAUUUAUGUAUGAGUUUUAUCCCUAAUUUAGUGUUAGUAGAGUUGCAUGGCUUGGUGAACUCAUGAUCAUAAGAUUGUGGUUUCGAUUCCUAGACCAGGCAACACAUUGUGGUUUUGAGCAAAACACUUCAUUUUAUGUUGCUCCCAUCCACUCAGCUGGGAAAAAUGCAUAAUUCUGCGAUGGACCAGCAUCCCUUCCACGUGUGGAAUUUAUACGCCAUUAAAACUGGGAAGCUGGCCCUCAAGAGUUGCCAUGGCUCAAAAAGGUAAUCUGAACCUGUUGUGGCAAUUAUUUUUUUUUUGGCAACGGGACCAACACACAGUAAUUCGAACACACACAUACACACAUAUAUAUAUAUAUGUUUGUUCCUUCUUGAGCCAUGCCUGGCUUAUAGGGCCGGUUUCCCAGUUUCCUUGGCAUAUAGGUUCCCCAGCUGGAUGGGGUGCCAGUCCUUUGCAGGUGAGCUGCAAGAUGUAGGAGGAAAGAGUGAGAGAAAGUUGUGGCGAAAAAGUCAGCAGGAGUUUGCUCAUAAACACACACAUCGCCCGGUCAGAGAUUCGAACCCGCGAUCCCUCGACCGCGAGUCCGCUGCUCUAACCACUAGGCCAUGUGCCUCCACCAUGGAGAGAAGAAGUAAAUGUCUGCGCAUGGGAUUUGAUCCCGCAUCUUCUGUACUCAUGACAGACCUUCUACCAUUGGAUCAAAAUAAUUGUUUGAGAUUUGAUCUCAGAAUUUAGAGAGCUGGAAGAUAUACCAUUUCUGCCAACGUGCCAAUGAUUCUACCACUUUUCCACUCACAGAGUAAUAUGGAAUGAAGUGUUUUGCUCAAGAAUACAACAUGCUACCUGGCCCAAGAAUUGAUCUCGCAAUUGUUAGUGCAACACCUUAAUCACUAGUCACAUACCUUCACUGGUGUGUAAAUAUCAAGUUAAAGACAAAAAAAAACCCUUUGGAGAGAAGAAAUAAAAGGCUGCACAUGAGAUUUGAACCCACAUCUGUACACAUGACAGAUGCUCUACUGUUGAACCAAAGCAAUCCUUUGAAUGUUCCUUGUCUGUUUUAGAAACUUUAUUCUUACCAGCAAGAAUUACAUGUUGUUGACAUCAUAAGAAUUUAGGAACUUUGAGAGAAUGUGAAAUAAUUCAUAUUUUGGGAACAGUGAAAUAUGAAGCAAAUAAAGUUAUGUACAAUAGUGUAUAGGGUUAAAAAAGAAAACCGUUAGGAUAGAAAAUGUUGUGUAGGUCCUUGUUUUCAAGUUGUAAUUGGUAUAACAUAAUUUUAUUUCCUUGUUUUCAAUGAUACUAGUAAUAGUACUCCAAAUUAUUGUUUGUAAUUAAGCUUUUAUGUCAAUAAAAUUGUUUCAGCAUGGCUAUUGGUUUUGUUGAUACAUGCAAGUUUAAUUAAUGUCGUCAUUUAUGAUAACGAGUUUAAAAAUGAGGGGGGAAAAUUUGUACCAGGAUUUAACACUUAAUUAUGUAUGGUAUGGCUUCAUCAUCAUCAUCAUCAUUUAACGUCCGUUUUCCAUGCUAGCAUGGGUUGGACGGUUCGACAGGGGUCUGGGAAGCCAGAAGGCUGUGCCAGGCUCCUGUCUGAUCUGGCAGUGUUUCUACAGCUGGAUGCCCUUCCUAAUGCCAACUACUCCAUGAGUGUAGUGGGUGCUUUUUACGUGCCACUGGCACAGGGGCCAGAGGAGGCAGGCAAGUGGCCACGAUCGGUUGAGGUUUUUUACAUGUCACCGACACGGAUGCCAGUCAGGCGACGCUGGCAUCAGCCACGUUCGGAUGGUGCUUUUUACGUGCCACCAGCACGGGUAUCUUAACUAUAAUUUCCAUUUAGGUUUUAUUUUGAUGUUGGUGUUGACGUACUUGACUCAAUAGGUCUCCUCCAUCACAGCUGGUCACUCUACGAUCCAAGGUUAGCACAGCAGGCUAUCCUGUGAGCCAUGAACUCACUUCAUUUGUCGGGUCUUCGCAAUCACAGCAUAUAUCAGAGGUCUCAGUCUUUCGUCAUUUCCUCUGUGAAGCCCAACAUGCCAAUGGUAUGCUUAUCACAACUACAAUAUCCAUUUGAUUUUGAUUUUUUUCUAUACACAAGUAAAUACAAUAAUGAUAUUUGUUAAUAGCAGCAUUGCAACUGUCUGUAUAUGUUUUGAGUUCAAACUGCCUCAAGGUAGACUGUGCCUUUCAUCCUUUCAGGGUUGAUAAAACAAGUACUACUUGAAAACUAGGAGUGGGGGAUGGGGGUCGAUGUAAUCUGCUUACCCACUCCUUCAAAUGUACUGGCCUUCUAACAAUAAUAACAAAAGCGAUGAGUUCAAAUUUCAGCACAGGGCCAGCAGUUUUUGAGGAGACAGGAAAGUUGUUUACAUCAACCCCAAUAUUCAACUGGUAAUUAUUUUAUUGACCCCAAAAAGAUGAAAGAGAAAGUGAGCCUUGGUGGAAUUUGAACUCUAAACAUAAAAAUGGUUGAAAUGCUACUAAGCAUUUUGUCUAGUUUUGUGUGUGUUGUGUUCCACAUGGCCACAUGUGUUCCACAGAAGACUGGAACCGAAUGAUCUUGCGUGUAUGAUGAUGAUGAUGUAACUCAUUUACAAUUCAUUUACAAUGAUGUCAAGACAAAGCCACACACAAACACACAUGCACAUGCACACACACACACACACACACACACACACACACACACAUGCAUGUAUAUAUUCAGUGGGCCUCUUUCAAUUUCCGUCUACAAAAUCCACUCUCAAGGCUUUGGUCAGAUUGGCAAUAUAGUAGAAAACAUUUGGCCAAAGUACUGUAUAGUGGGAUUGAACCUGAAACCACAUGGUCACAAAGUAAGCUUCUUAACCAAACAACUAUGCCUGCACAUGAUGAUGGUAAUAACAAUAAAAGUGGAAGAAAACUAGAAUUGGUAGUGAUGAUGAUGGUGGUGGUGGUGGUGGUGGUGGUGGUAGAAGUGGUGAUAAUGAUGGUGGUGGUAGUGGUGUUGGUGAGGAAUAUGAUGGAGGAAGAGGAGGUAGAUGAGGCUGAUGGAGAUGAUUUGAUUAGUAAUCAGAAUCUCCACUAAGAUCGAUCUGUCAUCAUCCCUCUUAGUGUGUGUGUGUGUGUAUUUGUGAUGCUGGUAGUGUUGAUGUUGGUGUUGAUAGUGGUAGUGGUGGUGUCGUCGGCAGCGGUGGUGGUGGUGGUGGUCUACAGCAAGCAGUUUCCAGUAUAAGAUAAAGUCUAUAUUUCCUUAGUGUACAGAAAAAGAACUACAGAACUACAUGUGAUGAGUAAGCACCAGAUGUGUGAGUGUGGGUAUGGGGGGAGGGCGAUUGGUAACGCUUGUGAGGGUUUCUGUGAUGACCAAUGCCACCAACAAGAAUUAUAAUACAAGCAACAUGGAGUAUUAUUAGUUGCUAACAAACGCUCAUGUACAUUUAUGUAUAUAGGCGCAGGAGUGGCUGUGUGGUAUGUAGCUUGCUUAUGAACCACAUGGUUCUGGGUUCAGUCCCACUGCGUGGUACCUUGGGCAAGUGUCUUCUACUAUAGCCUCAUGCCAACCAAAACCUUGUGAGUGGAUUUGGUAGACGGAAACUGAAAGAAGCCCGUCGUAUAUAUGUAUAUAUAUAUAUAUAUAUAUAUAUAUAUAUAUAUAUAUAUAUGUAUGAGUGUGUAUAUGCUUGUGUGUCUGUGUUUGUCCCCCAACAUCGCUUGACAACCAAUGCUGGUGUGUUUACAUCCCUGUAACCUAGCGGUGUGGAAAAAUAGACCAAUAGAAGAAGUACUAGGCUUACAAAGAAUAAGUCCUGGGGUCGAUUUGCUCGAGUAAAGGCGGUGCUCCAGCAUGGCCACAGUCAAAUGGCUGAAACAGGUAAAAGAGUAAAGAGUAUACACUCACUCACGCAUAGAUAUCUUUCAUCUUUUAUUGUUUACUUGUUUCAGUCAUUGGACUGUGGCCAUGCUGGGGCAACAUCUCGAAGAACUUCUAGUCAAAUAAAUCAAGCCCAGUACUUUCUUUCUUAAGGCUGGUGCUUAUUCUAUUGGUAGUUUAGGGGUCUGGCAAAAGAGACCAAUACAAUAGAUACCAGGCUUAAAAUAAAUAAUAAGUACUGGGAUCAAUUUGUUCAAUUAAAACUCUUCAAGGUGGUGCCCCAGCAUGGCCACAGUCUAAUGAAUGACAAAAACAAGUAAAACAUAGAAGAUAUCUAUAUCUAUCUAUAAUCAAAAUAAGCAACAAGUAUAUCCAAGGUAGAGUAGUACAAUUGUUUCAUGCUACUUCAUUUUAUUAAACACUGUAAAUGAAGUAGCAUGAAACAAUUGUACUACUCUACCUCAGAUAUACUUGUUGCUUAUUUUGAUUAUAAUCACCCCAUUUGAUUUAUAUGGAUAAUACCAUACAAAAUUCUGGUGCUUUUAACUUAUGUACCAUAUUCAUCUGAAUCUAAAUUUUACUGAACUUAUAUCUAUAUCUAUAUCUAUAUAUAUAUCUGUGUGUGUCUUUGCAUCUGUGUUUGUCCUCCUACACCUUCUACUGCUUGACAACCAGUGUGGGUUUGUUUAUUUAGGGACCUUUUGAGCAGGAUGAGCUCCUCAACAUGAAAAAGAUUCUAACUGGGCCCCACCUGGAAGGUCAUGUGCUGUUUAUCUUGAUAUGAGAUCACCAUGUUGUGCACAUAUUAUCAGACAGGUAGCGGUGGCGGUGGCGUCUUUUUUACUGUAGGUACAUGGUAUGAAAUUCUGGGGGUGAGGGCUAGCCAAUUACAUCAACCCCAGUGCUCAACUGGGACUUAUUUUAUUGACCCUGGAAGGGAUGAAAGGUAACCUCAGCAGGAUUUGAACUUAGAACAUAAAGACAAAUGAAAUGCCACUAAGAAUUUUGCCCAGCAUGCUAACAAUUCUGCUAACUCAUGCCGGAUAAAAUACUUCAUGGCAUUUCAUCCGUCCUUAUAUUGUGAGUUCAAAUUCCACCAAGGUUGACUUUGCUUUUCCAUCCUUUCAGGGUCAUUAAAAUAAGUCCCAUUUGAGCACUGGGGUCAAUGUAAUUGACUAGCUCCCUCUCCAGAAUUUCAGGCCUUGUGCUUUUAGUAGAAAGGAUUAUUAUUAUUAUUAUUAUUAUUAUUAUUAUUAUUAUUAUUAUUAUUAUUACUAACACCAACACCAACACCAACACCACAACUACUACUACAUUCAGUUGGAGUUGGAGUCAUAGUACAUUCUCUACUGACUCUGACUACAGCAAUCUUAUAAUUGCUCAUGACUCUAUGACUCUUCGAGACAGAUAUUUUGAAAUGUUGUAAAAUAUAUAUUUCAUCUCUGAAGACGAGGUUAAUAGAGUGAAGAAAAGUUUAUCUCAUUAACAUUAAUUCAUCUCCACCAUGAAGACAUUUCAUCAUAUCUCCUUGUAACUUUAUACACAGUGUUAACAUCUACAGGCAGACAUAUAGUGCAAGAAUAUAUGCAUUCAUAUAUUUGUAUGCAUGUGUGUGUGUAUGUAUAUAGUAAUACACAUAUGUAUAUUUAUAUGUGUGUGUGUGUAUAUAUAUGUAUAUUUAUGUGUGUGUGUGUGUGUGUAUUAAACCAUUAAUACUAGAAGCUUUAUUAGCACAGCAGUCAUUUCUGCUUCAUUUAAUGCCUCCUUUCUAAACCUUAAUUUUUAGAUUUUAAAUUUAAGUUAUAUGUGUGUGUGUGUGUGUGUGUGUGUGUGUGUGUGUGUGUGUGUGUAUGUAUGUAUGUAUGUAUGUAUGUAUGUAUGUAUGUACGUACGUACGUACAUACAUACAUACAUACAUACAUACAUACAUACAUACGUACGUACAUACCUAUGUAUUUAAACAUAGUGCCACUCCCAAACAGUUGAAGGAAUCCAGGGUAGAGGAAGACAUGGGAUGAGGUGGUCAAGCAUGACCUUCGAAUAUUGGGCCUCACAGAGGCAAUGAUGAGAGACCGAGAUCUCUGGAGAUAUGCUGUGACUGUGAAGACCCGACAAAUAAAGUGAGUCCACGGCAUAUCCUACACCAGCUUCAUAUAACCAGCCCCAGCCCAUUCAAAGUACAUUGGAUCGUAGGACAACCUGGUAUUCUUACCUUGGAUCGUAGGGCAACUUGCUGUACUUGAGGAGACUUUGUUCUGGGUUCAGUCCCACUGCGUGGCACCUUGGGCGUCUUCUACUAUAACUUCGAGUCGACCAAUGCCUUGUGAGUGGAUUUGGUAGGCGGAAACUGAAAGAAGCCUGUCAUAUGUACACACACACACACACACACACACUCACACACACAUAUAUUUAUGUAUGUAUUUGUGUAUCUGUGUUUGUCUCUCCACUAUUGCUUGACAACCAAUGUUGGUGUGUUUAUGUCUCCAUAACUUAGCGAUUCAGCAACAGAGACCGAUAGAAUAAGUACUAGGCUUGCAAUGAAUAAGUCCUGGGGUUGAUUUGUUCAACUAAAGGUGGUGCUCCAGCAUGGCUGCAGUCAAAUGACUGAAACAAGUAAAAGAAUAAAAGAAUAUAUACAUAUAACAUAAUCUCUUCUAGAGGCAAGAAUAAUAUUCUUUAAAUAACCAUAUUUUAUUUCCGGCUUCCAUUUAACAGACAAAUUAAUUUGUUCAUUCUCAUUUUUUUAUGGGUGGGAACGCACUGAAUAGUACAUUUGUUUUUCUUUCUAUUUUUGUGUGAGUUUUAAAAAAUAAUGCAAUAAGUGAAAAGCCUAUUUUCAUUCUUAGUUGAAACAAAUGUCAAAAAAAAAAAAGGAAAGAAAAAUAAUAAUCCUUUCUGCUAUAGGCACAAGGCCUGAAAUUUUGGUGGAGGGGGCCAGUUAAUUAGAUCGACCCCAGUACGUAACUGGUACUUAAUUUAUUGAUCCUAAAGGAUGAAAGGCAAAGUCAACCACAGCAGAAUCUGAAUAAUAAUAAUUAUAAUAAUAAUAAUAAUAAUAAUAAUAAUAAUAAUAAAGAUUUUAUGAUUCAGUGUGACUAUAAAAUAGAGAAUAGGAAACCAGACGUAGUCUUAAUUGAGAAAGAAAACAAACUAUGCUGGAUCAUAGAUAUAGUAUGCCUAGCUGACAACAAAGUAUGUGAUAAGGAAGAAAGAAAAGUGGAGAGAUAUGACAGGUUAGCUUGGGAAGUUAAGCAGUUGUGGUCAAUGAAAAAGGUAGCUGUAGUACCAAUAAUUGUUGGAGCCCUGGGAACAGUGAGCAAAAAUCUCAUAAAGUACGUGGAACAAAUAAGGGCUGCAAUAAGGGUGCAGCGCUUGGAGAAAACAGCACUGCUUGGAACUGCUUGAAUACUCUGGAAGGUGUUCAUAAAAUAAGAGGCGUUACCUUAGUUCACUGGUAGUGAACAGCUAACACUGUAGUACAUCUCCAGCAUUAGACGCUGUGCAAAGGCAAUUACAAUAAUAAUAAUAAAUAAAUAAAUAGGCAUAGGAGUGGCUGUGUGGUAAGUAGCUUGCUUACCAACCACAUGCUUCCAGGUUCAGUCCCACUGUAUGGCACCUUGGGCAAGUCUCUUCUACUAUAGCCCUGGGCCGACCAAAGCCUUGUGAGUGGAUUUGGUAGACGGAAACUGAAAGAAGCUCGUCGUAUGUAUGCAUAUAUAUAUAUAUGUAUGUGUGUCUGUGUUUGUCCCCCCCAACAUCGCUUGACAACCGAUGUUGAUGUGUUUACGUCCCUGUUACUUAGCGGUUCGGCAAAAGAGACCGAUAGAAUAAGUACUGGGCUUACAAGGAAUAAGCUCUGGGGUCGAUUUGCUCGACUAAAGGCGGUGCUCCAGCAUGGCCACAGUCAAAUGACUGAAACAAGUAAAAAAGUAAAUAAAUAAAUAGACAGUAAAAAAAUUUGGAUUUUGUCAUUUUUCAUGGCAAAAGUGUAAUUUGUAAUUUCAAAACUGCAGUCUUGAAGAAUAACAACAACAUACAUAUAAUUUGUUUUCUUCACAAAUUCCCCCCUCCCCCUCGGGCGCCACCACGACUUUAUCUUUGUACGUUUCUCUUUACUCUCAACCCAUUACAUUAAUGUCUUAUUUUAUUCAUAGUUUGAUAUAAAUAUCUCUUUUUAAGUGGAACAGGGGGGGGUGAUUCAGUAGGCAAGUGUUUUGUUAUUUACCCUUACCCCCUUCCUGCAUCCUCCUCCUCCUCCUCCUCCUCCUUUGUUUUAAACUUGUGUUGUCUUUAACUGGGUUCCAUCUUCAAUCUAGAUUACCAGAAAUCCUUUAUCUUGUUGAUGUUCUCUUGUUGUGGUUUUUGUUGUUGUUGUUGUUAUUAUUAUUAUUAUUAUUAUUAUUAUUAUUAUUAUUAUUGCCCUACCUCUUUUAAAUCUGACAUUUCCACUGUUUUACUGUGUAAUUACAUAAACAUUCCUAUCACUUUUGUGCGUAUGCAUACCUACAUAUAUACUUGCAUACCUACAUAUAUACUUGCAUACAUAUAUAUAUGUACAUACAUACUUGCAUAUAUACACAUAUACUUACAUACCUACCUACCUACCUACAUACAUAUAUACAUUACAUAUACAUAGUACUUGUACGCCAAAGUUGCAACAUGAAUACACCACACCAUGCCAUGCCAGCCCCACCGGGCCAUGGCAUAUGUGUGUGAUAAAAAGUUUUUAUUUAUUUAGAUAUAUAUAUAUACACACACUUUUUUUUUCCUUUUUCCAUUUUACUAACAUAUAAUCAUUUAUGCUAAACAAGCAAAUUCUAAACAUAAGUUCUGGGAAUUUGCCAAACUUGAUACAAAGAAAAAUCUUCUGAUUGACUAUUUUUGUAGUAAAUAUUUAAAACGUAUCUAUUGUAUCUGUUAGGCCUUCUGUGUUGUGGUAUUUCAGUGUGUGUACACUAUAUAAACACAGGUGCAGACGUGGCUGUGUGGUAAGAAGUUUGCUUCCCAAACAGAUGGUCCCAGGUUCAGUCUCACUACAUGGCACCUUGGACAAAAUGUCUUUUACUGUAGCCUAGAGGUGAUGAAAUCCUUGUGAGUGGAUAUGGUUGGCAGAAACUAAAAGAAAGAAGGCCACCAUAUAUAUAUAUAUAUAUAUAUAUAUAUUAUAUGUAGAAAAAUACAAACUGGGACAAGAACGUAAAACAUUUAGAAGACGAUACAAAAAACACGGACGGGACAUUCGAAGCCUUCAAUCUUCAGUCAAGAGCCGGAUCCUCCUAGCAAUUUCGGCUGAUUAAUCUUAUAUAUGUAUGUAUAUGUUUGUGUGAAGGUGCAUGGCUCAGUGGUUAGGGUGUUGCACGCACAAUUGCGAGAUCGUGGGUUCGAUUCCCAGACCAGGCAUUGCAUUGUGUUCUUGAGCAAAGCACUUCAUUUCACAUUACUCUGCGAUCAUUUCAACAUCUAACAUGUGGUACCCAGUUGCACCUGUGCAGGUAAUGUCGAUUUGAUGAAGGGAGUGAGUUUGUGUCUACACAAACACUUGAUCACUGUAAACAAAUCAUCUGUGUGGUUGUUCAGUAAGAAUUUGUUGAACCCUCAUACGUUGUCUCACAACGGUAGAGUUCAAUAUAUAUAUAUAUAUAUAUAUAUAUAUAUAUAUAUAUAUAUAUAUAUAUAUAUAUGUCAGAACGCCAAGUUGGAUCGUUAGCCCCUACACGCAAUUUUUUUCUCUCCUUGUUUCUUUUCUGUGUAUCUUUGUGUCGAAGAGCGUAGGUUCGAAACGUAAAAGACUUGUUUUAUUUCUAUUCCUGAGCGCCAUACUAAUACAUUGUUUGUACUCCACCUGCCUUCGUCUUUUGAUUAUUUUCGUAAACCUUCCCAUUAUAUAUAUAUAUAUAUUCUUUUACUUUCUUUUAUAUAUAUGUAUAUAUAUAUAUAUAUAUAUAUAUAUAUAUAUAUUUUAUAUAUUCUUUUACUUUCUUUUAUAUAUAUAUAUAUAUAUAUAUUUAUAUAUAUAUUCUUUUACUUUCUUUUAUAUAUAUGUAUAUAUGUAUGUAUAUAUAUAUAUAUAUAUAUAUAUAUAUAUAUAUAUAUUCUUUUACUUUCUUUUAUAUAUAUAUAUUUAUAUAUAUAUUCUUUUACUUUCUUUUAUUUAUAUAUAUAUAUAGUUCAAAUUUACAGAAAACAAAAGAUGAAGCAGGUGUAGAAAUAACAAGCAUGUGUAUUAGUUUAACAGUCAGGUAGAAUGGAAAUGUCUUUUAUGUUUCAAGCCUACACAUAAGUAUGUUGGUGCAAACAGGAAAAAUAGAACCCAAAAUAUGAGUAUAUCUAUAUUUUUUAUCAAUAUUUAGCAGAAGCAACAGAGUGACUCAAAGUCCGAGAGCUUCAUGCAUUGGCACUUAUCAAAAUGCAUGAUAGACUUGGAUCUUGCAUCACUCUGUUGUUUUUGCUAAAUAGUAAUAAAAAUGUGUGUGUGUGUACACAUAUGUAUACACAUAUAUGUAAAGGUAAGAUCCAAGGAUCUAAGUGUAGAAAGUUAGUAACCUUCGCACAGUCCAUAGAAGGUUGUAAAAUUUUCCCAUAUCGAAGUUUGAUAAGCUGAAAAAUGUUACUUUAUAGUUCUUGGUUAGGUUGCUGCGCAUGCGAAUAAGAAUUGUGUAAUUACGACUUCCAAGGCUCUUGCUAGCUUGGAAACAUAUGUAGCCUGGGGUUAACCUACUCCAUUCCCUAAAUUUGGAUUUUUGUGUGUGUGUGUGUGUGUGAAUGGAUGGUAGUCCCCCACAAUGUAAAAAAGACAAUUCUGUAAUUUCUUACUGAACGAUCUGCACAAAUGAUUUGCUUUUAGUGAUCAUAGGUGUGUUCCUUUAUCAGAUCAAUGUUACCUGAACAGGUGCAUGGUGUAAAACACAUCAGGUGUCUAAAUGAUUGUAGAGCAAUGUGAGAUGGCGUGUUUUUGCUCAAAAAUACAACUUACCCCCAAGCCAGGAAUUGAAACUGCAAUCUCAGAAUCAUGAGUACAACAGCCUAACCACUAGGUCAUGUACCCUCAUAUGUAUAUAUAUAUAUAUAUAUAUAUAUAUAUGUAUGUAUAUAUAUAUAUAUAUAUAUAUAUAUAUAUAUAUAUACUGGAUUACUUGAAUCCAGAUAUUUUAAACCUGGUACUGGGGUGCUGUACCAGACUCCAGUCUGAUUUGACUUGGUUUCUAUGGCUGGAUGCCCUUCCUAAUGCCAACCACUCCAAAAGGGUAAUGGGCACAGGUGCCAUUUACAUGACACUGACAACCCCUGCAGUUUCACUUGGCUUGAUGAGUCUUCUCAAGCGCAGCAUAUUGCCAUGGUCUCAUUACCUCCAUGAGGCCCAACAUUUGAAGAUCAUGGUACAUGGAAAUGACCACAAUUAUGAUUUCACAGAUGCUGUUUAUAUGACACCAGCAAUGGCUACGACUUUGAUUUCUCUUGGCAUGGUAUGUCACCAUGGUAGAUCACCAAAGGUCUCAGUCACUUGUCAUUGCCUCUGUGAGGCUCAAACUUUGAAGAUCAUGCUUCACCACCUCAUCCCAUGUCUUCCUGGGUCUACCUCUUUCACAGGUUCUCUCCACAGUUAGGGAGGGAACCUGUGAAAGAGGUAGAGCCUUAAAAAAAAUUUGAUAUGGACCAUUGAUGGUUCACCUGGACUUCAUUGUGUAUUAUUAAUGUAACACACCCAGCAAUAAUGAAAAUGGGCCAACUUUAUAAUUGCUUUAUUAUACCAACUGACAUAGUCAAACUGGUAUCCUCUGUCUCUAUGUUUUGGCCAAAGUACCCCACUGUCUUCUUUGGGCACCUGUCAUUUGAUUAAGUCAGUCAAACAAUAUGUAUCAUAUUUGCUGGUGUAUAAGAGACACCCUUGCAUAUAACUUACUCCUGUUUCUCAAGGAUUUUUGUGUAAAAAGCAAGUUUAGUAUGCCGGUGUAUAAGAUGCACCCUUGCAUAUGAUGCACUCCUCUUCUACAAGAAUAUUUUGUAUCAAAACAAAUUUAGUAUGUUUCAUCAUUUACUUACUGAAAGAUAUUUCAAAGUGGAUUUGUCUGGGAAUUCUAUGAAUCUGUACAAGUAAAUACAAUUCUGUAACAGUAUAAUGGAAGAAAGUAUGAAACAUUAAAUUCAUUAUUUAUAAACUACAUUAUACGAGGAUCAUAUUUCUGUUUCAUUUCCUUUCUGAUCAGUUUUAUAGCUGUUUAUAUCUUGGUCAAAAGAUUUGCCAUACAGGAUGUAAAACUUGUAAUUUUGGCUGUGAUGUUGUUUCGUUGUACUGCGAUUGGACAUCAGGGUGAUUUGCUAUGGCUGUGGUUUUGUUGUCAUCUACUUAUUGCUAAUAGCUACUAGGCAGAUGGAAAUUUAACAUUCCUUUCAUUUUUCUAGUAGAAUUUUCCUUUGAAUAAUCAAGAAAAAAUGUUUCUUAAAGAUAAUGCAAGCAUUAAAUAAUGUAAGCAGGAGUAGCUGUGUGGUAAGUAGCUUGCUUACCAGCCACAUGGUUCCGGGUUCAGUCCCACUGCGUGGCACCUUGGGCAAGUGUCUUCUACUAUAGCCUCGGGCUGACCAAAGCCUUGUGAGUGGAUUUGGUAGACAGAAAUUGAAAGAAGCCCAUUGUAUAUGUGUAUAUAUAUAUAUGUGUGUGUAUCUGUGUUUGUCCCCCAACAUCGCUUGACAACCAAUGCUGGUGUGUUUACAUCCCCAUAACUUAGCGGUUCGGCAAAAGCAACCGAUAGAAUAAGUACUAGGCUUACAAAGAGUAAGUCCUGGGGUCGAUUUGCUCGACUAAAGGCGGUGCUCCAGCAUGGCCGCAGUCAAAUGACUGAAACAGGUAAAAGAGUAAGCCAUGUAUCAUAUGUGGCUUAUGUAUGUUGGAGAAGAAGGAAUAAGGAGAUGAUAUGACCUCUCCCCAUAACUGCCAACAUAGAGUGUAAGCAAUUUUACUGUGAUAUUGUAGCUUGUUUUCAGUAUUUUAUUAUUAUUCGUAACAAUUAUUGUGCCUAGGGGACUUAUGUUAUCCUGCACCCUCUCCUACAACACUCAGUCUCCCAUCUGCAAUACAGCCAUAUUAGACACAAGACAAUUUAUUGAUACAUUACAAAUUUUAAGUACGUCUUACACAACAGCUAAUAUGGUACUCUGAUUCAGGCAAGAUUCCAAGAAGAAGGGUAUCUCUGAUAUAGGACAAUGGAAUUAAGCUCAAUAUACUGUUGUGAAUAUAGUGAAGGCCCAUGGCUCACUGGUUGGAGCAUUGAGCUCACAAUCAUGAGGUAGUGAGUUCAGUCCCCGGACCUGGCUGUGUGUUGUGUCUUUAAACAGGACACUUUACUUCAAGUUGCUCCAGUUUACUCAACUGUGGAAAUGAGUUGCAACAUCACUGGUGCCAAGCUGUAUCAGCCUUUGCCUUUCCCUUGGAUAACACUGGUGGUGUGGAGAGAGGAGGCUGGUAUGCCUGGGCGACUACUGGUCUUCCAUAAUCAACCUUGCCUGGACUUGUGCCUCAGAGGGGAACUUUUUUGGUGCAAUCCCAUGGUCAUUCAUGACCAUAGGAUGUCUUUACUCCU